rnacentral:rRNA from 1 species
CAGUAGCCGCGGGAAUACGUAGGUGGCAAGCGUUGUCCGGAAUUAUUGGGCGUAAAGGGCUCGCAGGCGGUUUCUUAAGUCUGAUGUGAAAGCCCCCGGCUCAACCGGGGAGGGUCAUUGGAAACUGGGAAACUUGAGUGCAGAAGAGGAGAGUGGAAUUCCACGUGUAGCGGUGAAAUGCGUAGAGAUGUGGAGGAACACCAGUGGCGAAGGCGACUCUCUGGUCUGUAACUGACGCUGAGGAGCGAAAGCGUGAGGAGCGAACAGGAUUAGAUACCCCAGUAGUCCCUGUCUCUUAUAC